CCAUGCCUGGUUCAUUUUAAUAAACGUGAGCUUGUCCACAUUGGCCGUGGACAGGCAGCUGCGCUUGUCUGUUAUUACCUCGUGCCGAUCGCACGUCCCCAUGACGGCGACAAUGCAUUUGGAUGUCUGCCCUUUCGACUUUCGAUGCAAUUUUCCGCGCCUACCAUGGUGACCACGGGUAACGGGGAAUCAGGGUUUGAUUCCAGAGAGGGAGCCUGAGAAACGGCUACCACAUGCAAGGAAGGCAGCAGG